GGGUUUAUACCUUAAGUGGUAAAGUCUUUGCCUAGUAUGCAAAAGACCUGGGUUUGGUCCCCAGAACCCA
rnacentral:tRNA from 1 species